UACGUAGGGUGCGAGCGUUAAUCGGAAUUACUGGGCGUAAAGCGUGCGCAGGCGGUUUGUUAAGCCAGAUGUGAAAGCCCCGGGCUCAACCUGGGAACUGCGUUUGGGACUGGCAGGCUGGAGUGCGGCAGAGGGGGGUGGAAUUCCACGUGUAGCAGUGAAAUGCGUAGAGAUGUGGAGGAACACCGAUGGCGAAGGCAGCCCCCUGGGUCGACACUGACGCUCAGGCACGAAAGCGUGGGGAGCAAACAGG
rnacentral:rRNA from 1 species